AUGUCAAAUCAUCAUGCCCCUUAUGUCUUGGGCUACACACGUGCUACAAUGGCUCGUACAAAGUGACGCAAUAUCGCGAGAUGGAGCAAAUCACGAAAACGAGUCUCAGUUCGGAUUGCAGGCUGCAACCCGCCUGCAUGAAGUUGGAAUCGCUAGUAAUCGCAGAUCAGCACGCUGCGGUGAAUACGUUCCCGGGUCUU
rnacentral:rRNA from 1 species